rnacentral:rRNA from 1 species
UACAGAGGUCUCGAGCGUUUAGUCGGAGUCACUGGGCUUAAAGCGUACGUAGGCGGAUAUGCAGGCGUCGUGUGAAAUCCCUUGGCUCAACCAAGGAACUGCACGGCGAACCGCAUGUCUUGAGAUCGGUAGGGGCGGUCGGAACGAUAGGUGGAGUGGUGAAAUGCGUUGAUAUCUAUCGGAACGCCGAAGGUGAAAGCAGGCCGCUGGGGCCGAUUCUGACGCUGAGGUACGAAAGCGUGGGGAGCGAACGGG